GGAAGGAUCAUUACCAUAAAACAAAAUCUCUUCUCACUGGGGGCUCAUUGCGAGUCUUCCGCGGACUUUUUUUAAAUAAUUUAUUUCUUUAUGUGGCGAGGCCGAAACACGGCCUUGUUAUUUAAGCGACGAAUAAUUAUUUAAACCUUUCGCUCCUGCGGGCAGGAACCGGCCCGCCUGCUUACAAACGGGGUCGACGAAACGUGUUGUUUUUUCCUUGCCCGCGGGGGACGACUUAACGGAAAGAUAUUUGUUCGUGCCUUCUUAUCCAUUAGAUGGAUGAAUUGGACGAACGCGGACGAGUGGCUCCUCGUUGAGGCUGCGGGGGGUGGUGUAAUACCUACCGCCCGCUGCCCGAAAUAAAGCCGAACCACGAAACACACCAAAAGUCGAAUCUGAAUCAUCGGAAGGAAGGAAGGAAGCCUAGCCUUGUUGGGCUCUCCAGCCGACCCGCCGAGCAUUACAUAUACGUAACGACUAAAAACUUUCAGCGACGGAUGUCUUGGCUCCCACUACGAUGAAGAACGCAGCGAAAUGCGAUACGUCUUGCGACUUGCAGAAUCCAGUGAAUCAUCAAAACUUUGAACGCACCUUGCGCUUCCGGGAAAUCCCUGGGAGCAUGCUUGUCGGAGUGUCUGUUGACGCCAAUCGCUAGACCCCCUGGUCUCUGAUCGGGUGUGUCUGGCGGACUAUGAGUGUUCCGGAAGCGUAAGCCGCCGAGUCCACCGAAGUAUGUAAGAUUUGUAAGGCCCAUGCGAACAUCACCCGCCCGUCGAAGUGAGUUAGUGCAGGUUGGGUCGUUUACGGAGGUCCCUUUUUCUCCUUCGAGAGAGGAGGGGGUCAAAAUUACGGUCCGGCCACCGUACUUGCGAGGGCGGGAGAAUCUGUCCGUGUCUGGCGUUUUGCAGAUCAUGAAAGGAUCGAUCGUUUUUGUCGGGAAGCUACGUGCCCCCGGCCAGCGAGCUUUCAACACAAAUGCAUUUAAUUCUACCUCCGAUCAAGCA
rnacentral:misc_RNA from 1 species